UACAGAGGUCUCAAGCGUUGUUCGGAUUCAUUGGGCGUAAAGGGGGUGUAGGGGGCGCGGUAAGUCGGGUGUGAAAUUUCGAGGCUUAACCUCGAAACUGCAUUCGAUACUGCGGUGCUUGAGGACUGGAGAGGAGACUGGAAUUCAUGGUGUAGCAGUGAAAUGCGUAGAGAUCAUGAGGAAGACCAGUGGCGAAGGCGGGUCUCUGGACAGUUCCUGACACUGAGACACGAAGGCCAGGGGAGCAAACGGG
rnacentral:rRNA from 1 species